rnacentral:rRNA from 1 species
GAUUAACGCUGGCGGCGUGCAUAACACAUGCGAGUCGAACGAUGAAACUUAACUGAUUUCUUCGGAAUGAUUUUAAGUGGAUUAGUGGCGGACGGGUGAGUAACGCGUGAGUAACCUGCCUUGGAGAAGGGGAUAGCCUUUGGAAACGAAGAAUAAUACCCUAUGAUAUGAUAAUAUCUCAUGAUAUUAUCAUCAAAGAUUUAUCGCUCUAAGAUGGACUUGCGUCUGAUUAGUUAGUUGGUGAGGUAACAGCUCACCAAGGCAGCGAUCAGUAGCCGGCUUGAGAGAGUGUACGGCCAUAUUGGGACUGAGACACGGCCCAGACUCCUACGGGAGGCAGCAGUGGGGAAUUUUGCACAAUGGGGGAAACCCUGAUGCAGCGACGCCGCGUGAUUUAGAAGGCCUUCGGGUUGUAAAAAUCUUUUGUAUGGGAAGAAAAUGACAGUACCAUACGAAUAAGGACCGGCUAAUUACGUG